UCACUGUUCCUUGUCACUGGGCUACCAUAUCCCAGGUUUACAAAUCGAUCUAAUUCUAAGCCCAUGGGCUGACGGGAUGGAAAGCAGAGGAUGUGGAGAGGCAUCGCUUACCCAGCAACUGAGGAAAUCCUUAAUUUCCAGAGGAGAAUAUCCAGUUUAGAGGGCUGAAAAAAGUUGAGGUGGCAGAAGGAGGAGAGAACUAACGUCAACACUGAUGUUCUCUGAAUUUAUGUCUCUCUAUUAAGGGAGAUAAACUGUAUUUAAAAUAAUGUUUAUCAACAUAAAACCAAAGGAGUCUUUAUAAGCAGAUUCACCAGUAGAAACUUUUCCGUGUAUAUCAUUUCCUUAUCUUUGUUUCUAUUUCCAAAUGUGAUCAAUGAGGUCUUACGGAAAAUGAUCUCAGGAUUUCUCAUCUUCAUAUGAGUACGACGUUGAAACUGUUGUGAUGGAAUGGGACUGUUGCUCAUAGAAGCUAAUCACCUGCUGUACAGAAGCCAUGCAAACUGUGGAAAGGCCCACAUGGAGAGGAACUGAUGCCUUUUAUCCCUCAGCACCAUCUGACAGACUCCACAUAAGACCAGCACCAAUUUGCCAGCCAUCUUAUCAUAGAUUUCACGUGUGACAUGAAAAUCAGCUGUGAUCACCACAUCAUUAGAUAAAAGACCACGAACUGGCAGCCGACAAACCAAGCUGAUGACUUCCAAAGACUCCGGAAAGAAAGAUUUAACUUCUCUCCAGCCCAAGCACCCCUCUGGCCAGAGGUUAAAAACAAAAAGAUUGAAUUGAGUAAAGCAUGAUGGACUUCCUAAAACAGUCCAAAGAUUUUGUUUUGUUUUGAAAAUGAAUUGAUAAGGGAAAAUAUGUUGGUAGCAAGGGUUGGAGCCAAGCUAGUCAUUUGUUUUCAGGUCUUCAUGCCUUUUUAAAGUUUUUUUUAUACCUUCUUCAUAAUGAAAACAAGAUGUGCAUUCCUUACAAAUAGCUAAUCUUACCCUGUGACCUCAAUGUGGUCAACAACCAAACUUUCUACCCUUGACCGAAUAAAUGCAAACCCUUUCAGAACAAAUAUGCCUUUGAGUCGGGAAGACCUUUCACAUUACUGUGCAGAGUUAUUUGAUGCUCGCACAGCUGAAUGUUAGUCAUCAGUGCAGUAGGUUAACCCUUGUCCUGCUUCUUCAGAUAAUGGCAGUGUUGAAGUCAUUUGAUCCAACACUUUGCUAAACCACUUAGUUU